GUGGGGAAUAUUGCACAAUGGGGGAAACCCUGAUGCAGCAACGCCGCGUGAAGGAAGAAGUAUUUCGGUAUGUAAACUUCUAUCAGCAGGGAAGAAAAUGACGGUACCUGACUAAGAAGCCCCGGCUAACUACGUGCCAGCAGCCGCGGUAAUACGUAGGGGGCAAGCGUUAUCCGGAUUUACUGGGUGUAAAGGGAGCGUAGGUGGUAUGGCAAGUCAGAUGUGAAAGCCCGGUGCUCAACCCCGGGACUGCAUUUGAAACUGUCAGACUAGAGUGCAGGAGAGGUAAGUAGAAUUCCUAGUGUAGCGGUGAAAUGCGUAGAUAUUAGGAGGAACACCAGUGGCGAAGGCGGCUUACUGGACUGUAACUGACACUGAGGCUCGAAAGCGUGGGGAGCAAACAGGAUUAGAUACCCCUGUAGUCC
rnacentral:rRNA from 1 species